GACGAACGCUGGCGGCGUGCUUAACACAUGCAAGUCGAACGGAAAGGCCCUGCUUUUGUGGGGUGCUCGAGUGGCGAACGGGUGAGUAACACGUGAGUAACCUGCCCUUGACUUUGGGAUAACUUCAGGAAACUGGGGCUAAUACCGGAUAGGAGCUCCUGCUGCAUGGUGGGGGUUGGAAAGUUUCGGCGGUUGGGGAUGGACUCGCGGCUUAUCAGCUUGUUGGUGGGGUAGUGGCUUACCAAGGCUUUGACGGGUAGCCGGCCCGGGAGGGGGACCGGGGACAAGGGGACUACGGGAGGGAGCAGAGGCGAACGUGGGACAACAGUCGGGAGUAUGACACAGUGAGCGGGAGUCUGAGGCGGCGGCGCCGCGUGCGGGAUGACGGCCUUGGGGGUGUGAACCGCUGUCGCCUGUGACGAAGCGGGAGUGACGGUAAUAGGUAAAGAAGCACCGGCUAACUACGUG
rnacentral:rRNA from 1 species